GUGGGGAAUUUUGGACAAUGGGCGCAAGCCUGAUCCAGCAAUGCCGCGUGUGUGAAGAAGGCCUUCGGGUUGUAAAGCACUUUUGUCCGGAAAGAAAUCUCCUGGGUUAAUACCUCGGGGGGAUGACGGUACCGGAAGAAUAAGCACCGGCUAACUACGUGCCAGCAGCCGCGGUAAUACGUAGGGUGCGAGCGUUAAUCGGAAUUACUGGGCGUAAAGCGUGCGCAGGCGGCUCUGCAAGACAGAUGUGAAAGCCCCGGGCUCAACCUGGGAACUGCAUUUGUGACUGCAAGGCUAGAGUGCGUCAGAGGGAGGUGGAAUUCCGCGUGUAGCAGUGAAAUGCGUAGAGAUGCGGAGGAACACCGAUGGCGAAGGCAGCCUCCUGGGAUGACCCUGACGCUCAUGCACGAAAGCGUGGGGAGCAAACAGGAUUAGAUACCCUUGUAGUCC
rnacentral:rRNA from 1 species